rnacentral:rRNA from 1 species
UGAGGAAUAUUGGUCAAUGGAGGCAACUCUGAACCAGCCAUGCCGCGUGCAGGAAGAAUGCUCUAUGAGUUGUAAACUGCUUUUGUACGAGGGUAAACCUUCUUACGUGUAAGAAGCUGAAAGUAUCGUACGAAUAAGGGUCGGCUAACUCCGUGCCAGCAGCCGCGGUAAUACGGAGGACCCGAGCGUUAUCCGGAUUUAUUGGGUUUAAAGGGUGCGUAGGUGGUUUAAUAAGUUAGAGGUGAAAUCCACAGGCUCAACCUGUGAUGUGCCUCUAAUACUGUUAAACUAGAGAUUGGAUGCAGCUGGCGGAAUGUGUGGUGUAGCGGUGAAAUGCUUAGAUAUCACACAGAACACCGAUUGCGAAGGCAGCUGGCUAAUCCACAUCUGACACUGAGGCACGAAAGCGUGGGGAUCAAACA